CACCGGACAAUAUACUACAUCUCCAAUUAAAUACUAAAUCACUUAUUUAUAAGAAAUUGUGCCUUUUGGGCGUUUUCCUUCUUUUAUUACUAGUAAUAAAUAAGGAAAAGAAAAAAUAUAUAUAUAUAUAUAUAUAUAUAUAUAUAUACAUUUUUAUUUUUACCUUAUUUUUAAUGUUAACCACAAUUCUAAUAUUAUAAUAAAUUUACUUACAUGGCAAUUUUUGCUAAACCUGUAAGUAUGCAAUUGUAUAAAUAUAUAUACGCUAAUCAUAUUAUUUGAUUUGUUUUUUACUUUUUUUUUAGAAUAGUAUAAUAUCAUUUGAAUCACGAAUUGACAACAAAAAUGGAAGAAUUAUAAGUGAACUCGAACAAAGUGAUGACAAACUGGACAUUGUAACAUAUUUGAGCAAUGGAGAUUUUAAUAAGGUUGGUAAUGAAAGUGCAAAUCAUGAUACAGAAGAUAAUGAUAAUGAACGUACAGAUGAGGAACUUAAUGUCCAUGUUGAAGAUGAAAAGUCAUUUGAUAACAUUAGUACAAACCCAGAAGAAAAUGAAAAUAGUAGUAUAAAUUCAUUCAAUAAAGUUAACAAUACAAGUAGUUUUGGUGAGAUGCAUAGGCAAAUAUCAAAAGAUAUAAAACAAAAAUGCUUUGAAGACCAAAAUAAAGUUCCAAAUAAUGAAAAAACGCACAUAGAUAAAAAUUUACAAGAGCAAAAUAAUUAUACGAACGACCAUUACAUUAUAAAAACACCGCACCAGACAUUACAUACAGAUGAUACAAAUAUAACUGAAAGUAAUAUAAGUGGUAAAAAAAACAGUGAUCUUACAACACAGUAUGUAAGUGAAAAUAUUAAAAGUCAAAAUAUUGAAAAUAAUGUUAAUAAUCCAGGAAAUAAUAUGGGAACAAUGGCCUCAAAUUUAACUAAAUCUAUGCCAUAUAUCAGAAAUAUACAAGAAAUACCAAAUGAUGAGAGUAUAAAUAACAGUGCACAAGAACAAGCUCAAGUCGAUGAAAAUUAUUUAAAUCUAAAUAAAGCAUAUGAAGAAUCAGUUAGAGAAAAUAUAAGUUAUAUUAUGCAAGAGCUGGAUAGAACAGAUAUGAACUAUGAUAUACUUAAACAAUGGUUACAAUAUGUUUUAAAUUUACAUUAUUUUAAAGAGUUUCAUACAAAUAUUGACUCAGAUAAAACAGAAGAAUUUAUUACAACAGAACAAUAUCAAACAUAUGAUGGAAAUAACAGUAUGGAUGCAUUUGAAGAAGUUUAUAUAAAUGAUGGACCAUACGAACAAUAUACAUAUGAAAAAAAAUCAACAAGUAGGAACCAUGAUACAGAAAGUAAAAAAAAAAAAUUAAAUGCGCAAGAUCCGAAUUUACAUUAUUCUCAAUAUACUAGUAAUGCUCAAUCUACAAGGUUAAAAAAUAUGGAAAGAGCUAACAUAGGAUAUCAAAACUUACGUGAAAACAUGGAGAACAUAUUUGGAAAUAAUAAUUUAGAUCAAAAACAUAACAGACAAAGUAAAUAUUUAAAUAUGCAACAAAACACAAAUUAUGGUUAUGAUGAACCCUAUACGGUUAAACAUAAAUCACAUUAUUAUCAACAAAUGCAUGCUUAUCCAAAUUAUGGUAAUUAUACUCCUUAUGAUGAUAGUCAUAGAUAUGCAACUUCUUCGGAUCAUGGCAUGAACCAAUAUUAUAAUGCUCAUGCAGGUUAUACCACUGACUCUUAUUAUGGUAAUGACGCUGCUUAUGGUACUGACGCUGCUUAUGGUACUGACGCUGCUUAUGGUACUAACGCUGAUUAUGGCGAUGAUGCUGCUUAUGACGAUGAUACUGCUUAUGACGAUGACACUGCUCAUGCUUAUAAUGUUAAUUAUGACACUAGCACAAAUUAUACUACUCAUGAUGAUUACAUUACUCACCCAACUUAUGAUCAUCAAUAUGAACAUAGUACUACUAAUGACGACAGUGAAGAGAACAUCAAUAUUCAUCCCAACUAUAAAAGCUUAGGCAGAAAAAAAGAAACAUGUCCCAUAUCACAUUCUUCCUAUAAUAAAUCAAAGAAAAUAAAUAUAGAAGACGAAAGCAAAAGAAAAAGAGCAUUAAGAGGCCAAACUAUAGUAGGUAAUAGUUAUGUUGAUGCAACAAGAGCAUGCAGACAUUCAAACUGUACUGCUCCAAAUUUAAGAACUAAACAAGAACUAUAUGUGAAUGAAUCUAAAAUGAAAACUCCAUUAACAUACGAAUAUGGCAGUGAAAAUAAUGGCUUUGUAAGAAGUAAUGUCAAAUCAGCUAAACAAACAAAAAGUGGACAAGUAUAUAGCCAUCAAAAAGAAAAAAGUAUGUUUAGUGAUUAUAAUCCAAUAGAUCAUAACGCUACAUAUAAAAGUAAUCAUCCUAAGAAAACAACACAAUAUGAUGAAAAAACAAGAAAUGUAACUAUAAAAUUAGAUUACUUUGAUAAAAUAAUAGAUGUUUUACCAAGUAAUUUAAAUAGAGAAGACAUGGAAUAUUUAUGGGGUAAAUUUAUUAAUCUAGAAAAAAUGAAAUUUAAAAAAGUAGAAAAUUAUGUAAUAGGCUAUAUAAAAUAUUUAGCAAAAAAAUUUGCAUUAUCAUCAAAUGAACAAAGCAAACAAAUAAAAAUUAUAAGUAACUAUGCGGAAGAAGAGCGCAAAACACAAGAAAAAAAAGAUUAUAAUGAUUUUGAGGCUUAUAUUCGUCAAGGUAAUGAUAGUAAACAAGAUUUUAUAAAUUUUCUUGUCACAAAAAGUAAAGCAUGGGACAAUUUAAGAUAUAUGAUGCAAAACUGGUGGAUGGAGGAAUUGACCAUCCGAAUGCAGCAAUUAUAAUUUAUUGCAUAAAGGAUAAGCCUAAAAUGUAUAUAAGCGUAAUUCGUACAAACAAAUAUAUUUAUACUGCACCAAUAUCAUAAAUGCUGUAUUAAUAAUAUACAAACGAAGCAGGAAAAAAAAAAAAAAAAAAAUUGAUAUAGUUUUUAAACUGUAUUAGUUAUUA
ensembl:lncRNA